CAGCUUUUUUGGAAGUUGCACUCUCGCGAUAUUUUGAAAAAUAUGGAAAAAGAAUUGUUUAAAAGGUAAUGUUUUUCUGUUUGGUACAUAUUUGCAGAAUUACAUGAGUAAUUUAUAUUUCUUGUUGCCAUGUUUAUUUACAGUACUCAUACCAGUCCAUUUUUUUCAGUUUGAGCUGCAAGUUGAAGCAGGAAAAUGGUGUCAAGUGUCAAGGCAAGCCAAAGAAGCAGUACUGGAUUUUCCCCAGAAAAUCAUAUUGCUGAAUUUGCUGACCAUUGUUGAAGCUGUGGAUUUUCCCUGGGAAAGAAUGAAGAAUGUUUUCAAGAAGAGACUGUAUUCAUUUGUAGUGUUUGAAGUGACGAAAGAAUAACAAAUGGAGACAGAAGACAAAAGAUGUUGAAUGUGACUGCUGGAAAUGCCGGAGAUAUAAGUAGUAGGCUACAAGACUGAUUUCCAAACAAAAUGAUAGGCACUGAUGCCUAAGUUCCAAAACAUCAACACUUUGAUUAGGAGAAACACCCAUGGAUGAAGAAUCAGAAGGCUUAAUCAACGGAUAGUGAAAAUUGUCACAUGCUUCUGCCAGCUGGAAAGAUACUAUCCCUCACACCACCAGCAACAGCUCACACAGAUGGUAUCUCAACAUAUAGUAGAUUCAUGGUGAUGCAUCAUAGAGCAGAUAUAUAGCUGGUCAACUUAUACAAGAAUGUUGAGAGGAUUUUAAAGGAAAAUUGGCAGAGGUAAAGAAGACAAAUUAUGGUGCAAAAAGUAGAAAUAUCACAAGUUAACAGUCAAUAAUGGAAGUGACUCCAGCCAGUAACUCAAUAAGUCGUGAGCUUGCAAGGAUAUGUCACAGGAAAGGCGGGUUUAUGGAGCUGCUGCAGAUUUAUCCCAGUCUUGCUUAAACCAGAACUUAUGAUCUACAACAUGAUUCUACAGCUGCCAAUGAACUUCGGUAGAAGAGCUGGAGGGGAAUGGAGUGAGCAGAUUGCAGUACAGUCAAACCUGUCUAUAAAAGACCACCCUUGGAAGAGCCAAAAUAUGGUCUUUAUUGGGAGGUGGUCAUUAUUCACAAGUUAAAAUAUAUUGUAAAUGUUCAAAUGGGAAACAAAACAUGUGUUCUUUAGAGCCAGAUGGUCUCUGUUCAGAGGUGGUCUUUAACACCGGUUUGACUGUAUACACAUCAGUGGGAGUGGAACAGGCAGAUUUCAAUACAUACUACAUCAGUGGGAAAAGUGCAGUGAAGUUCAGCUGUUUCCAGCUUGAAACACAUGAGGUUGAAGUUGCAAGUAGAGACUGACAAUGACUGGACAGAAAAUGAUGAUGGUGAAGAACUAUAGAAAACUGUGGAAAACUUUUAAUAGUGGCCAUCAACAAGCAGUCAUUGAUCCAGUAUUCCAGCCAAUGUAUCCGUCUUCACACAAGAAGCAAUACCAGGAAAUAUGUGACAUUCAUCAGCCAGGUAGUCAUUUACUCCAAGUGGCAAAGUUAGAGACCCAUACCCAUUCUUGGAAAAGGAGUGGAUUGUUUUGUGCUGCGGACACCACAGAAUAGUGGAUUUGAAAGUUUAACUUUUCAAUAUGGGAAGAUGCCACAUGUCACACAAAGCCGCAUACCACAACAAAUCGCUGUAGCACAGAUAUCUAUGUCACACCUAAAAGGGAAAUUUCACCAGAGGCACAUAGGAUCACCAGGAUUUCAUGCAAUAUUCAGACACAAUGACGGUAAAAAGCACGAUAGUCCAACACAUCUGUACCUGGAAUUAAGUUGACUGUAGAGAAAUUGUGUACUUGACUUGAAAAGAUCUUACAGUGAUUUUAGUAGCCUGUUAUAGAAGACAAUUUGAUUUUCCAGUUCUUGUCUCAGCUCUGCUGUGCACAAGUAUAACUAGGACAUUAUUCAGCUGAGUUUCUUCUAAAAAGUAUUUACCAGUGUUCAAGAAACUACCCUAGACAGUCAUACUUGCUAUGACUUGUGACUUGGUAUUUGGUAUAAUGCCUAUACUGUAAAAUCAUUUAAUUUCCUGGGUAUGAAAUUUUGUGGUUUUUGUAAAAACGGCAAUUUCGUUGGGAUAUAUAUUCAUGGAUUUCAUCUUUUGAACAUAAAAUGAAUGGGAAUUUUACUUGUUCAUUGGGAUUAAAUUUCGUUAAUUGACUCAACCACGAAGUCCAUGAAAUUUAGUCCACCACGAAUAAUGAUUUCACAGUAACUGACAGACAAAUUUAUUAUGAAAAGCUGGGAAGGCCUGCCAAGGGUUUUCAUAUGUUAAAGAAAAAUUUCAAGCAAUGAUGUAUACUGAUGAUAAAUUUGGUGCCAUAAUGUUCAUUAUGUUAAGAAGAAUCUGACAGAUGUUAUUAGAAAUUCGAAUUGUGUUAUUUUACUCUAUAUUUAAGAAAAUUGAUAUAUUCAAACUUGUAAAUUUUAUCAUUUGUUAAGAUGUUACAUUAUAGCUUGAAGCCUUAAUGCACUCUUUCUACAAUCUGCCUGAAGAAACACUUCAGUUGUUUUUGUGUAUUAGUUAGCCAUUUCCUGGAUUAAAAAUACACAAACUUCUAGCUCAAGACUUCCUAAGGUUUGACAAGUUGUAACUUUCUUUGAUUUUGCUCAAGUUUGUUAAUUAUUGUUAAAAUACUUUUGUUCAAAAUUUAAUAAGGUGCAAAACCUUUAGCCUGCUUGCUAUUCAGUAAGUAAAUUUUUAGUGAUAACCACUUCAGAUAAUAAAUGGUACUGCCAAAUUUGAAUGAUAAGAUCAGUCCAUUUCAGAAAUUUAGCAGGUUAAAGGUUAAAUAAUAUCCUUAAGCAACAGAUGUUAUCUUUAAAAUGUAAUGUAAGGAAAAGACAACCUUUACUGUAAGCUAAUAUAGCUUUCUGUCCAAUGCCUGAAAUGUUUUUUUGAAAUAUUUCAUGACUUUCUGAAUAAUAACGUUUAAAUUAAAAUUAUAAGUAAAGUAUAUAAACCCCAAACUCUUAAGGAGCAAGAAGACAAAAUUUCAACUUUUGUAUAAAAUUAACUUUGUGAUAUUUUUCUUAGUGAUAAGUUUCUCAGUGAUAACUAGACAUUUAAUUUUAUAUCUGUGUAGAUUUUUGUACAGUUAAUUCAGGUGUAUACAAGACAAUAAUUAUAAAGAUUUUUUUAUGUUUUAAGCUUAACCUAAUUAUUUAUGUUAGAGAAAAAUGUUAAAUUUUAAUUACUUUAUAAGUAUAUGUGUAAAUCCUAUUUCAUUAUUCAUGGCGGUGUCGAGUAUAUGGGAUACACUAGCUUUUAUUUCUGACCCUGUAAAGAUGGUAAUGAAUAGUUUUGGAGUGAUAAACUGAACACAGUGAAUAGUUUGUAAAAGGAUCAACAAUAUU
rnacentral:lncRNA from 1 species